AUUGAACGCUGGCGGCAGGCCUAACACAUGCAAGUCGAGCGGAGCGGCGGACGGGCGAGUAAUGACUAGGAAUAUGCCUGGUAGUGGGGGAUAACGUCCGGAAACGGGCGCUAAUACAGCAUACUAGUAGAUGAGCCUAGGUAGGAUUAGCUAGUUGGUGGGGUAAAGGCAUACCAAGGCGACGAUCCGUAACUGGUCUGAGAGGAUGAUCAGGCACACGGGAACUUAGACACGGUCCGGACUCCUACGGGAGGCAGCAGUGGGGAAUAUUGGACAAUGGGCGAAAGCCUGAUCCCGCCAUGCCGCGUGUGUGAAGAAGGUCUUCGGAUUGUAAAGCCCUUUAAGUUGGGAGGCGUUACCAACAGAAUAAGCACCGGCUAACUUCGUGCCAGCAGCCGCGGUAAUUC
rnacentral:rRNA from 1 species